rnacentral:tRNA from 1 species
GGGCGGAUAGUUCAGUUGGUUAGAACGUACGGUUCACAUCCGUAAGGUCACAGGUUCGAAUCCUGUUCCGCCCA